rnacentral:lncRNA from 1 species
GCUCCUCUAGACUAGUUUUGCCUGUUUGUGGUACUAGGGGAAAUGAUGAGGCUAGAUUUGGGCCGGUCGGGUGGCGCAAGUCAAGUCGCGACGACGCAGCCAGCGGGUAGAGCCCAGGUCUAGUUGCCACGCCACGUCCAUCACCAGUCGCCCUCCAGCCAUGUGGGCCCCCACUGACAACGACUGGGAAACACGCGCUACGUUUCGCUUCCUCAUUGGCCAGCGGCGGAAGCAGGCCCAGGCUUUGGUGCUAAUCUUCAGGUUCUAACAAUGCUUUUUUUUUUUUCAACAACAGCGUGAACUAUAAUGAAUUUUGGAUACACGUAUCAACACCUGAAAUCAAUGACGUAAUUAGGCUUGCAAAUAUUUACUCCCUCCGGUUUGGUACAAAGUUGAACAAUUUCGUACUAAAUUCCCGACACUUAUUAUAUAUCGGAGAGAGUAAUAUGUAUGUUUUUUUUUCUACACAAAUGGAUUUCUCUCUACCCAUAAGUUAGUAUAGCUCCAAAUCAUAACAACAUAAGUUUCUCAUAUUUUUUUAUUAAUUUAGUACUAUACAAAGUUGUUCUAAGUCCAAAACACUUAUUAUGAAUCUGAGCAAGUAUAAUUAAACAGUAUUCUUAGAAAAAUGUUCAAGGAAUCAGACUACAUCCCGCGAAACUUUGCACAUAUAGAUCGCACUUCCAUCAUCACGAAAUGGUAACUACAGCAUAACAAACUUUGCACAUAUAGACCGCACUUCCAUCUUCACGAAAUGGUAAUUAACUCUCUCAGAAGCAUUUAACGACAUGCAUGCAUCUUUUUUAGCGUGAUAAUGAUCAGAAAGCCGAGAUCUUCUAACCUAACGUGAAGUUAACAUGCCGUACCGAUGCCCGUUAACUUUCAUGGCAUCCAUGUACUGGAGUACUAUCUUUUUCCUUGGAUUGUUGCUUUGGUCCUUUCUGCCGUUAACAUGUCACGAUAGGCCCCGUUCUGGAAGCAACGUGCGACAGAUAUACGAAACAACCCGAUUCCAUCGCUUUCCCUUUGUGCUGCAUUUUAUUUGCCGUACCUGGUAAUCAACAACCAAAGAGCACUAACCAAAAGGAGCUAAUUAACC